UACGGAGGGGGCUAGCGUUUGUUCGGAAUUACUGGGCGUAAAGCGCACGUAGGCGGCUGUUCAAGUCAGAGGUGAAAGCCUGGAGCUCAACUCCAGAACUGCCUUUGAAACUAGACAGCUAGAAUCAUGGAGAGGUGAGUGGAAUUCCGAGUGUAGAGGUGAAAUUCGUAGAUAUUCGGAAGAACCACCAGUGGCGAAGGCGGCUCACUGGACAUGUAUUGACGCUGAGGUGCGAAAGCGUGGGGAGCAAACAGG
rnacentral:rRNA from 1 species